UUAGCCGACACUUAUUCCUGUGGUACCGUCCUUUUCUUCCCACAGAAAAGAGUUUUACGACCCGAGGGCCUUCAUCACUCACGCGGCGUUGCUGCGUCUAGCUUUCGCUCAUUGCGCAAUAUUCCUC
rnacentral:rRNA from 1 species